UGCCGGGUAGCUCACUGGGUAAAGCAUCGCGUUGUGAGCAGAAGUGAUUAUCACGUCGCAGGUUCGAUUCCCGCUUCGUAC